AAAGGGUCGCCUUCAGGAACCAGUACCAAAUGGAUGUCGCGGGCAAUCUCUUCACGCCCAAGACUCUCAACCGCAAUGGCAAGGCUCCCGCCAUCGUCGUCGGGCAUCCAAUGGGCGCGGUGAAAGAGCAAAGCGCCAAUCUUUAUGCAACGAUGAUGGCCGAGCGCGGCUUCGUCGCGAUGUCCAUCGACCUGCCCUUCUGGGGCGAGAGCGAAGGCCGGACUCGCAAUUUGGUGUCGCCGGACAUUUAUGCCGAGGCGUUCAGCGCCGCCGUCGACCACCUCGGCACGCAGGACUUCGUCGACCGCAGCCGCAUCGGCGCGAUCGGCAUCUGCGGAAGCGGUAGCUUCGUCAUUAGCGCCGCGAAGAUCGACCCCCGCAUGAGGGCGAUUGCGACGGUGAGCAUGUACGAUAUGGGCGCGGCGAACCGGAACGCAUUGCAGCACUCUCAGACUGUCGAGCAGCGCAAGGCGAUCAUCGCCGAGGCCGCCGAGCAACGCUACGCAGAGUUCGCGGGAAACGACGUGAAAUACACCGGCGGCACCGUACACGAACUAAACGCGACCACGCAUCCGAUCCAGCGAGAGUUCUACGACUUCUAUCGCACGCCACGCGGCGAAUUUACGCCCAAGGGCAGUUCCCGCGAUGUGACGACGCAUCCGACGCUGACCAGCAACACCAAGUUCAUGAACUUCUACCCCUUCAACGAUAUUGAGACGAUCUCGCCGCGCCCCAUUCUGUUCAUUACGGGCGAUCAGGCGCACUCGCGCGAGUUCAGCGAGGACGCCUACAAGCGCGCGGCAGAGCCGAGAGAACUGGUGUACGUGCAGGGCGCCGGACACGUCGAUCUCUAUGACCGCGUGGACCUUAUCCCCUGGGACAAGCUCGAAGCCUUCUUUAAGCGUCACCUUGCGGCUUGAUGCUGGGAGCGCUCAAGAUGAGUAGAACUCGCCAACACUUGGCAACAACAACAACCGCCGCUGCACUCACGCUCGGCCUGACGGGAGUCGCCAUGGCGCAGCAUCAAAUCUUGAUUUCAUCCGAAAGGGGAAACGUCAAAGCGGAAUUGGUGGACAACGACGCCACGCGUUCGCUUUUGAAGAUGCUGCCGGUCACCAUAGAGAUGCGCGAUCAUAUGCGGCAGGAGAAGACCGGCGACCUCCCUUCGCCACUUGCAACUUCGCCAAGGCAGACCGGGUUCUCCAAAGGCACGCUCGGCCUUUGGAGCGCGGACCACCUUGUCAUCUACUACCGCGACGGCCGCGUACCGCAGCCGGGGAUCGUUAUUCUUGGGCAGGUGACCGGCGAUGUCGCGAUAUUUGACCGGCCUGGCGUUGUGAGGGUUCGCGUCGAACUGGAGCCAAAGUAGCGCGCAUGUCUCGGCGCAAACAUUCCAUAUGUCGCCCGCAGUCAGACUGCGUUAUAAGUGGCGGUCGAUAGAUGAAUUGGAUUCAUGAGUGCGCCGCGACAAUGUUAAUGACCUGCUUGCUUUUCUCGCGGUCGCCCGUGAAGGGAGCUUCACGAAGGCGGCGAGAAAGGCUGGCCUGUCGCAAUCCGCGCUAAGCCAUACGAUCCGCCAACUCGAAGAACGGCUUGGCGUCCGGCUGCUCACCCGAACCACGCGGGCAGUUUCGCCCACAGAGGCUGGCCAGCGCUUGCUGGAAACUAUCGGCCCCAGGUUUGAUGAGAUUGAAGCACAGGUCGCCGCGCUGAGCGACCCGCGAGACAAGCCCGCAGGCACCAUCCGGAUCGUCGCGUCUGACUUUGCGAUCAAUUACGUGCUCUGGCCCAAGCUCACGAAAUUCCUGC
rnacentral:misc_RNA from 1 species